ACUUGUAUUAGUUUACUUGAGAUCAGAUUAGAUUAAAUUAGAUGAAAUAAAAUUAGAUUAGAUGAGUUUCUAUGUGUCGCUUGACUCAUCAUUUCCUCCCCUUCCACAACCGUCUUGACCUCAGCGGGGGUGGGGGCUCCCCAGGGAGGCCUCACUCCACCUGCUGCUUGCCACGCCCCAGUCCUCUAUCCCCAGGGACAUGUCUCUGGACCUGGUCGUCCAGCCCCAACGCAUGCUGCUCAAGGUCUCCCACCCCCUGAAGACCAUCCACAUGAAGGGGCAACUUGUUCAAGAGAGAAAUACCAGAAAAGCAAAAGUGGAGCUCUCACUAGAUGGUGUUCAUCACUAUUAUUUCAUGGCUUCGGUUGAUUCCAAAACACUGCUGACGGAACGAAGGAGCCGAUAUCACCUGGAGGCCAAGUGGGCACCCAGCACACCUCCUAU